rnacentral:rRNA from 1 species
UACAGAGGGUGCAAGCGUUAAUCGGAUUUACUAGGCGUAAAGCGUGCGUAGGCGGUUCGCUAAGUCGGUUGUGAAAUCCCUGGGCUUAACCUGGGAACUGCAGUCGAUACUGGCGGACUAGAGUACGGUAGAGGGUGGCGGAACUCCGGGUGUAGCGGUGGAAUGCGUAGAUACCAGGAGGAACACCAACGGCGAAGGCAGAUUGCUGGACAGAAGGUGACGCUGAGGCGCGAAAGUGUGGGGAGCGAACCGG